rfam:Schistosoma rodhaini strain Burundi genome assembly, scaffold: SROB_scaffold0021461
AGCCAGCUGAGGAGUCCCAAGUAGGACGAAACGCGCGUCCUGGAU